GUGGGGAAUAUUGGACAAUGGGGGGAACCCUGAUCCAGCCAUGCCGCGUGUGUGAAGAAGGCCUUUUGGUUGUAAAGCACUUUAAGCGAGGAGGAGGCUACCGAGAUUAAUACUCUUGGAUAGUGGACGUUACUCGCAGAAUAAGCACCGGCUAACUCUGUGCCAGCAGCCGCGGUAAUACAGAGGGUGCAAGCGUUAAUCGGAUUUACUGGGCGUAAAGCGCGCGUAGGUGGUCAAUUAAGUCAAAUGUGAAAUCCCCGAGCUUAACUUGGGAAUUGCAUUCGAUACUGGUUGGCUAGAGUAUGGGAGAGGAUGGUAGAAUUCCAGGUGUAGCGGUGAAAUGCGUAGAGAUCUGGAGGAAUACCGAUGGCGAAGGCAGCCAUCUGGCCUAAUACUGACACUGAGGUGCGAAAGCAUGGGGAGCAAACAGGAUUAGAUACCCGUGUAGUCC
rnacentral:rRNA from 1 species